UACGGAGGGUGCGAGCGUUGUCCGGAAUCACUGGGCGUAAAGGGCGCGUAGGUGGCCUGGUAAGUGUGUGGUGAAAGCCCGGGGCUCAACCCCGGGUCGGCCAUGCAAACUGCGAGGCUGGAGCACUGUAGAGGCAGGCGGAAUUCCGGGAGUAGCGGUGGAAUGCGUAGAGAUCCGGAAGAACACCGGUGGCGAAGGCGGCCUGCUGGGCAGUAGCUGACACUGAGGCGCGACAGCGUGGGGAGCAAACAGG
rnacentral:rRNA from 1 species